GGUAAUUCAUGCAUCAUUCUUUUGAUAUUUAUCAGGCACGUGUAUUUUUUACUGAUAUCCACGUGUAUUAAUUUUACUCUUCUAAAUUUUUCCUUUAACCUUCUUGAUUUCUCUCCCUUGUUGUUUCAUCCUUGUUACUAAUUCUUGCUCGCAUCGUACUUUGCUUCAAUCGAUGAUCCCGUUUCAAAAAAGUGUGCUUUGGGGAUCUUCGAUUGCCCUCUUCCUCUUCGAAUUUCAUGGGCCUAUUUAUCGCUUCUCUACAAGCUUUAUGACUAAAUUUAUGAUGGUCAUGAGGUACCUUGAGACCCAACACCGAGCAAAUAGGCCAGUAAACCAAGUGUGACACUAUGGAACGAAGAGCUCAUGGAGGAUUGCAGAGAAUUUUAGGCAAAGUUUGGUGUUUGUGCAACAUUUAUGUGAAUUUUAAUUUGAGUUAAAACUUUUUGAUGACUAUGUUGUUAUAUUUGGAUAGCUUCCUAGCAUCAAUAACGUUGGAUCCGUGCUCAGCACAGAUCAUUUUGAUGUAGAAUAUUAUAAUUUACUAUGUCUUUUUAUUUUUGUUA